CAGGAGUUCAGUUACCUCGGGUCCCGGGAACUCUCUGGCCAGCGCCUGUGCGGAGGAAGCAGUGCGCUACUUAAUGGGAAAUUCGUGUAAGGGAGAUUCGUGCCACAUUUCACAUCAAAGACCCUCUCAGGAAACCGGACUCUGGAGAGAGUCACGGAGCGGAAAUGAGUCUUUUCAGAGCAUCGGGGCUCAGAACCCUCGUCUGCAGAGAUGCCCAGCCAGCGGCCCCCGUGCCUUUGGAUGCCGACUCCGAGGAUGCCGAUCAGCCGCCCCGCUCCCCCUUGGGGGUGUUUCUCUUUUCCUAGCACCCCCUCCGUCCCCCGCUCACAGAGCUGUGCCUUCUCUGCGAACAGGCAAGCAAACGCCCAGCCGAUCACGCUGAAUGUCAGUUGCUGCUUACGUGGCUGUCUCUCCCACAAGACUGUGCAUUCCCUGAGGACAUAACCUGCCACAGUCCUGGGACCAUACUGGAGGAUGAUGAAACAUGUCGAAUACAUGAACAGAGGAAUGAAUGACUGAGCUCCAGGGACAGGCUCUGAUAAACUCAGAUUAACGUGAAAAGCAGCACUAGGGCGAAGAGGUAGGCACCGAGUAUUUGCAUUCAGAAGGCCUAUCACUCAGACAGUGAAAGGAGGCAGAUUUUAAGCAGCAGGUCCUCGGGAGGAGAGGAGUUUGGGGAAAAGGCGUAUAUCAAGGGCAGAAGAACAACAGGGAGCCCUCAAGCCCUGGGUACAGCUGACAAGGCAGCACAUGGUCUGUGGAGAAUUUGCCAGAAAUGUUAAACAAUGUCAUUGAUAGUAUCCCCCUCCAUCCCCUAAAAAAAAAUUUUUAGCUGAUCUAAGUUUUCAACAAUUGCUGCAGUUUAUUGAGUGUGAAUAAUAUAUGUACGUGUCCAAUGAUCACAUUUUUAUAUAUCCUUUAACAUGCAUUGUAUUGUACAUGGAGUCUAAUUAGGAAAACUCCCAUUCUAUAAUUGGCCCCCAGCACCUGCCUACUCAGUCAUGCCUG
rnacentral:lncRNA from 1 species